rnacentral:rRNA from 1 species
CCUACGGGAGGCAGCAGUGGGGAAUAUUGGGCAAUGGGCGCAAGCCUGACCCAGCAACGCCGCGUGAAGGAAGAAGGCUUUCGGGUUGUAAACUUCUUUUGUCAGGGAAGAGUAGUAGACGGUACCUGACGAAUAAGCCACGGCUAACUACGUGCCAGCAGCCGCGGUAAUACGGAGGAUGCGAGCGUUAUCCGGAUUUAUUGGGUUGAAAGGGUGCGCAGGCGGCCUGUUAAGUCAGCGGUAAAAGCCCGGGGCUCAACCCCGGCGAGCCGUUGAAACUGGCGGGCUGGAGUUGGAGAGAGGUACGCGGAAUGCGCGGUGUAGCGGUGAAAUGCUUAGAUAUCGCGCAGAACCCCGAUUGCGAAGGCAGCGUACCGACUCCACACUGACGCUGAGGCACGAAAGCGUGGGUAUCGAACAGGAUUAGAUACCCCUGUAGUC